UACGUAGGGUGCGAGCGUUGUCCGGAAUUAUUGGGCGUAAAGAGCUUGUAGGCGGUUUGUCGCGUCUGCCGUGAAAAUUCGAGGCUCAACCUCGAACUUGCGGUGGGUACGGGCAGACUAGAGUGUGGUAGGGGAGACUGGAAUUCCUGGUGUAGCGGUGAAAUGCGCAGAUAUCAGGAGGAACACCGAUGGCGAAGGCAGGUCUCUGGGCCACUACUGACGCUGAGGAGCGAAAGUGUGGGGAGCGAACAGG
rnacentral:rRNA from 1 species